rfam:Myotis lucifugus cont2.63794, whole genome shotgun sequence.
CGUGCACUGGUGGGGUCCCUUGGCCUGGCCUGCAAACUUCCCCUGAGGGGUCCCAGAUUGCGAGAGGGUGCAGGCCAGGCCAAGGGACCCCACCGGUGCACG